rnacentral:rRNA from 13 species
UGUCAUUGACAGACACCUUUUCAAUGUUUGGAUUAAUCGUGUGCCAGCAGUCGCGGUAAUACACGUCAAGCUAACAUUAUAUGAUGUUCUUCGAUGUAAAGUAAAGGUGGA